UUACGCUGUUAUCCCUAAGGUAACUUGUUCUAGCAAUCAAUAAGAAUGGAUCUAAUAGUCAUAUAUCAAUGUUAAAUAAAUAAAAAAGUUAUAUUUAUAUUUUUGUCACCCCAACAAAACAUAAUAUUAAAUAAAAAUAUUAAUAUAAAAAUAUUUAAUUAAAAAUAUGUAAAGAUCUAUAGGGUCUUCUCGUCUUCCAAUAAAAUUUUAGCUUUUUAACUAAAAAAUUAAAUUUUAAAACAAAUAAAAUGAGACAGUCAGUUCCUCGUUAAACCUUUCAUUCCAGCCCUCUAUUAAAAGACUAAUGAUUAUGCUACUUUUGCACGGUCAGUAUACCGCGGCCGUUAAAUUCAUCACUGGGCAGGUCAGACCUUCAAUUAAAUUCAAAAGGCCAUGUUUUUGAUAAACAGGCG
rnacentral:rRNA from 1 species